AAACCGGAUGUUGAUGCUGGCAAAAGCAAAAUCUAGGUUGACGUUAUUUGCAUUACUUAGCUACUGACGCGUACUCGAAGGAAACUAAUUCUUAUUUAUGGACUCUUAAAUGAAGUACCAUUUUCGUUUUGAAUUAACAUUUCAAAAACAAUGUUUUACCUUGUAGAGGACAUUUGGUUUUGGAGGCAGAAUGGCCCAGAUUAUUUAACGUUGUUUUCCUAAAUUAGUUUAGGUAGCUAACGUUAGCACGGGGUAUUUUUCUUUCACAGAAAAAUGUAACACUGCACGUCUGACGACGUGACUCAAGUCUUCAUUCUACUAGAUAGCUAACUAGCUAGGUAAUGGAUUUUCAAAGAAAACAUGAUGGAAUUGGAGAUAAUUCGUGCUCAACGCUCAUUGUAUUUUUUGUAGCUAGUGGUGCGCGACACAGCUAGCUAGUAACCUUAAUUUCUCAGUGGCUAACGUUAGCUACAGUAUCGUUAGCUAGUAAACAACGUCGUUCGCCCUUAAUGUUUGACAAGGCAUUCCACACAUAAAUUCUCCCACCCGCAGUCGUGGAUCUCUAAACUCGGUCUUAACUUGAUACCAAUGCUUGGGAUGAUGGCUACACAGGGCAGCCCUGUCAAGAGUUACGACUACCUCCUGAAGUUCUUGCUGGUUGGAGACAGUGACGUGGGGAAAGGAGAGAUCCUAGACAGUCUGCAGGACGGAUCAGCAGAGUCUCCCUAUCCCUACAGCAGUGGGAUUGACUACAAGACUACCACAAUCCUGUUGGAUGGGAGAAGAGUCAAGUUAGAAUUGUGGGAUACGUCUGGACAGGGUCGAUUCUGCACAAUCUUCAGGUCAUAUUCACGUGGGGCACAAGGAAUCCUGCUAGUUUAUGAUAUCACCAAUGGCUGGUCGUUUGAUGGCAUUGACCGCUGGAUCCGGGAGAUCGAUGAGCAUGCCCCGGGGGUGCCCCGCAUCCUAGUAGGCAACCGGCUCCACCUGGCCUUUAAGAGGCAGGUGCCCACGGAGCAGGCCCGCGCCUACGCCGAGAAGAAUGGCAUGACCUUCUUUGAGGUCAGCCCUCUGUGCAACUUCAACGUCGUCGAGUCGUUCACGGAGCUGUCGCGCAUCGUGCUGAUGAGGCACGGCAUGGAGAAGUUCUGGAGACCAAACCGAGUGUUCAGCCUCCAGGACCUGUGUUGCCGGGCCAUCGUCUCAUGCACCCCCGUCCACCUCAUCGACAAGCUGCCUCUCCCCGUGGCCAUCAAGUCCCACCUCAAGUCCUUCUCCAUGGCCAACGGAAUGAAUGCUGUCAUGAUGCAUGGACGCUCCUACUCCGUGGCCACCAAUGUGGCGGGCGGCGCGGCGGCGUGAGCGGCGUCAACAACAGCAGCAGCAGCAAGGGAAACAGUCUCAAACGUUCCAAGUCCUUUAAACCGCCUCCGAGCCCCCCCAAGAGUAGUAGCAGCAAAAGUAACUGUAACAUUACCUAGUGAGGGGCGAGGGAGGAACUUGUGAGGCCUCCCAUUGGGCCUAAUGCUAUCGCUGUAUGGGGCGCUCAGGGGCCCCAAUUUGGACAUGCAUAAACGCACAACAGGAACCGUAAGAGCUGUGAGUGAGUCCAAUAUGGCUUUCACUCUUUCUUAGCCCCCUAGCGCCAUCUUGUGGGUCGCCGUUAAACCCACAGCUACCAGCCAUUGUGACCAGCAGAGCGCUCCAGCUUGUAGAGCGCUCCAGCUUGUAGUCCUAAAACCCGGAAGUGAGUUACCUCUGGUUUUUUCAGCCUUUUCUAUGGGGAAAGAAUAGGGUUUUGGGAUAAACACUGAAAAUAAGGUCUGAGGUUAACACAGGCUUUGGAGAUGUUAUACAGUACACUUUGUUCUAUGAGAUAAUAGCAGCCAGUUAACAUGACCUUUAUUCAUUAUGAAGCCUUUAUGUGCUUUUUUUAUUACAUAAAUGCAUCAAAAAUCACAAAGUGACGUUAGCUGAUGAAGAUUAUCUCAUAGAACAAAACGUAUAAGAUCUCCUAAGCCUGUGUUUACCACAGACCUUAUUUUCAGUGUUUAUCUAAAAACGACAGUCAUUUUCCCCAGUCCAUCGAACCAUGGCGGAGUUAGUGCCUACAAAAAGACAACAUAACUAUUUCUCUCCAUACAGCCUCUUGGACUUCAAGCUGUGACGUCAUCACUCACCUUACUGUCGACACUACAAGAGAGUAUGAGGACUCUGAACAGAUUCACGGGGUAUAUUUAAGUAAAGACUUAUUGUACAUGCGUGGUAAUCGGUCGGCUUUUUUGCAUUGACCUCUUACGUGAUUCGUCUUGAAUGUUUUGGGAGUUUGUGUUAUUAUGCCUGUCCGUUGACUUUGUCCCUCCUCUUCAAUACUUAUAGACCUAUGUCUGGGUCGUGUUCAUUAGGGCAUGCGAUGGAAAACGUUUUGUUUGUCUUUUUUAUUUUAAUUUGCUGCCUACUGACCCUGGUUUGAUAUGGCUCAGAAACACAUUGAGUGAUUAUUAUUUCCAAAUCUCACACGGAUUUGCCAACAAAUAGAACACUUAAAAUAUUGAAACUGCAGCUAACUUUUUUUUUUACUCUCUGCACUCUGACAAAGUUUUCUUGUGUGUGUGUGUCUGUUUUAAUGUUUUCAUUUGACCUUUAUUUAACUAGGCAAGUCAGUUAAGAACAAAUUCUUAUUUUCAGUGACGGCCUAGGAACAGUGGGUUAACUGCCUUGUUCAGGGGCAGAACGACACAUUUUACUUUGUCAGCUCGUGGAUUUGAUCUUGCAACCUUUCGGUUACUAGUCCAACGCUCUAACCACUAGGCUACCUGCCGCCCAUCCAUCUGUCGGUCUUCUGUUGGGUGUGUGUUGCUCUGUCUGUUGACUUGGGUCCUUGUCCUGUUUGGCACCAGAAUGUAUAACACCAGUCUGGUCUGUGCUCAUAUGAUUGAUUAAAAGCAAAUGGGGUCAAGCUGUUAUAGCAAAGGGUCAUUGUAGAUUACACUGGUUUCAUUUCAGAAUAAUGGGUGCAAUAUCAGACUGCUCUCCCUCACUGUUUGCAUUUUAAAGGUAUACUCAGCAAUAUGAUGUAGAUGCAGAAAGUAAACUGCAUGGGGGGGGGCCUUCCAUAACAACUAAGCGUGAGGCUCUACUUCUAUGCUGUUAUUGUCCCGUGGCUACCAGGCUGUGAACAGUGUGAAGUGAACACAGAUACUGUGUGAGAGUGAAGUCUUGCAUCUUGAUCAUCUCCCUAUCUGCCGUGCUGCUUGUGGCAAUGUCAUUUAGCUGAGUCUACCUUUAAUGCUGAUCAGAGAGCCAAUGGUGAAAUCGUGUGUUGAUCCAAGUCUGUUUGCUCAUUCAUGGCCCUUUGCCCUGAGUGACCCUGUGAGUAACCAAUAUGUGCCUGGCUUUUUACCGGUAUCAUGAUUUAUCUUGAAGUAUCAGUAGGAUUUUUGGGGAAUGCCGCAAAGGGCUAAAAUAUCUUUCAUCUGAAUCACUUUGAUAAGUGGUUAUGUUAACUUGUGACUUACUAACUUUGGACUCCAGUAAACUUACAUUUAUCCACGUAAAGCAAAUUCCAUACAGGCUUAAUAUAAAAAAGAGUUCAUAUUCACAAUUUUAUUUAUACCCAUUUGUUUAUAAAUAAUAUUCUGUUUUUUGUUGGCGUCUUAUAUUUUUGUAAAGGACAAAAUUCUUAGAAUGUAUUUACACUGAGGCAUUCCCUAUGCUCACUGCAAGAGAGAUGAAAACCAAUGCAUGCAAUUUUUCUCUGUUUCUACACCCUUUUUAUUAAAUAAAAGAUCAAGGAAAAGAAUCAUUAUUCAGGGUAUUAUAAGCACUACCUGUAUGUGGUAUAAGCUGCUGAGUUGAUUGUAAGGAUGAUGAACGGUUUUGCAAAUAAAUGUGGCUGCAUAGUUGCCGUGGAAAGCAAUGGUUUUCCCCAAAUCAAA